GGGGCCUUAGCUCAAUUGGCAGAGCACCGCCUUUGCAAGGCGGGGGUUAGGGGUUCAAGUCCCCUAGGCUCCAC
rnacentral:tRNA from 1 species